rnacentral:rRNA from 1 species
GCGGUAAUUCCAGCUCAAUAGCGUAUAUUAAAGUUGUUGCAGUUAAAAAGCUCGUAGUUGAAUUUCGGGAUCAAUUUAUCGGUCGUGCCUACGGUAUGAACUGGUACAAUUGGUUUCUCCCUUCUGACGAAGCAUGAUGUCAUUAAUUUGGUGUCGUGGGGAAUCAGGACUGUUACUUUGAAAAAAUUAGAGUGUUUAAAGCAAGCAUUAGCUUGAAUACAUUAGCAUGGAAUAAUGAAAUAGGACGUUUGAUCCUAUUUCGUUGGUUUCUAGGAUCGACGUAAUGAUUAAUAGGGAUAGUUGGGGGCAUUAGUAUUCAAUUGUCAGAGGUGAAAUUCUUGGAUUUAUUGAAGACUAACUACUGCGAAAGCAUUUGCCAAGGAUGUUUUCAUUAAUCAAGAACGAAAGUUAGGGGGAUCGAAGACGAUCAGAUACCGUCGUAGUCUUAACCAUAAACUAUGCCGACUAGGGAUCGGAUGAUGUUAAUUUUUUAAUGACUCAUUCGGCGCCUUACG